UCCCUGGUGGUCCAGUGGCUAAGACUCUGAGCUCCCAAGACAGGAAGCCUGGGUUUGAUCCCUUGUCAGGGAG
rnacentral:tRNA from 1 species